rnacentral:rRNA from 1 species
UGCGGGGGGAGCAAGCGUUGUUCGGAUUUACUGGGCGUAAAGGGCGCGUAGGCGGCCUCCGCAAGUCAGUUGUGAAAUCUCCGAGCUUAACUCGGAAAGGUCAACUGAUACUGCGGGGCUAGAGUGCGGAAGGGGCAACUGGAAUUCUUGGUGUAGCGGUGAAAUGCGUAGAUAUCAAGAGGAACACCUGCGGCGAAGGCGGGUUGCUGGGCCGACACUGACGCUGAGGCGCGAAAGCUAGGGGAGCGAACGGG